rnacentral:lncRNA from 1 species
CCCCCGUCUACUUCUUACGAACCAAACGAAUUCUAAAAGAGUGAGCCGGCACACCACAAUCCCUUGGAGCAUGUGAUAGGUUUGUAACUCUUGCACCGCACACACUUGGUUCAAGCAAUGAUGACCAAAGCUCUAUGGAGUACCAAUAGCUAAUGAUUUUUGAGCAUGGAUCUUCUGUGUUGCACAUGCGGCGUCACAUAGUGUGAUGCAGCCGUAGAUGGCCGCCAUCGAUGGACGAACAGCCAUCAAACAAGAUGUCCACGAGA